rnacentral:rRNA from 1 species
AGUUUGAUCCUGGCUCAGGAUGAACGCUGGCGGCGUGCCUAACACAUGCAAGUCGAACGGGGCUGUGCGCUGAAGAGGUUUCGGCCGAAUCUUGCACAGCCUAGUGGCGGACGGGUGAGUAACGCGUGGACAACCUGCCCCUGCCUGGGGGACAACAGCCGGAAACGGCUGCUAAUACCGCAUAAGCCUCAUUUCUCGCAUGGGAGGUGAGGGAAAGGAGAGAUCCGGGGAGGGAUGGGUCCGCGUCCGAUUAGCCAGUUGGCGGGGUAACGGCCCACCAAAGCGACGAUCGGUAGCCGGCCUGAGAGGGCGGACGGCCACAUUGGGACUGAGACACGGCCCAGACUCCUACGGGAGGCAGCAGUGGGGGAUAUUGCACAAUGGGGGGAACCCUGAUGCAGCGACGCCGCGUGGGUGAAGAAGCGUUUCGGCGCGUAAAGCCCUAUCAGCAGGGAAGAAAGGCAGGGGAACCUGCCCGGACGGUACCUGACUAAGAAGCCCCGGCUAACUACGUGCC